rnacentral:rRNA from 1 species
UACGUAGGGCGCAAGCGUUAUCCGGAUUCAUUGGGCGUAAAGGGUGCGUAGGUGGCGCCGUAAGUCGGGUGUGAAAUUUCGGAGCCUAACUCCGAAACUGCAUUCGAUACUGCGGUGCUUGAGGACUGGAGAGGAGACUGGAAUUCAUGGUGUAGCAGUGAAAUGCGUAGAGAUCAUGAGGAAGACCAGUGGCGAAGGCGGGUCGUCUGGACAGUUCCUGACACUGAGGCACGAAGGCCAGGGGAGCAAACGGG